rnacentral:rRNA from 1 species
GAUGAACGCUGGCGGCGUGCCUAAUACAUGCAAGUCGAGCGAACAGACGAGGAGCUUGCUCCUCUGACGUUAGCGGCGGACGGGUGAGUAACACGUGGAUAACCUACCUAUAAGACUGGGAUAACUUCGGGACACCGGAGCUAAUACCGGAUAAUAUAUUGAACCGCAUGGUUCAAUAGUGAAAGACGGUUUUGCUGUCACUUAUAGAUGGAUCCGCGCCGCAUUAGCUAGUUGGUAAGGUAACGGCCUACCAAGGCAACGAUGCGUAGCCGACCUGAGAGGGUGAUCGGCCACACGGGAACUGAGACACGGUCCAGACUCCUACGGGAGGCAGCAGUAGGGAAUCUGCCGCAAUGGGCGAAAGCUUGACGGAGCAACGCGGCGUGAGUGAUGAAGGUCUUCGGAUCGGAAAACUCUGUUAUUAGGGAAGAACAAAUGUGUAAGUAACUAUGCACGUCUUGACGGUACCUAAUCAGAAAGCCACGGCUAACUACGUG